GUAAGGAAUAUUGGACAAUGGGGGAAACCCUGAUCCAGCCAUGCCGCGUGAGUGAAGAAGGCCUUCGGGUUGUAAAACUCUUUCAGAUGUGAAGAUGAUGACGGUAACAUCAGAAGAAGCUCCGGCUAACUUCGUGCCAGCAGCCGCGGUAAUACGAAGGGAGCGAGCGUUGUUCGGAAUCACUGGGCGUAAAGAGUGCGUAGGCGGUUAUACAAGUCAGGAGUGAAAUCCCAGAGCUUAACUUUGGAAUUGCUUUUGAAACUGUAUAGCUAGAGGCCCGGAGGGGUUAAUGGAAUUCCGAGUGUAGAGGUGAAAUUCGCAGAUAUUCGGAGGAACACCAGUGGCGAAGGCGAUUAACUGGACGGGCACUGACGCUGAGGCACGAAAGCGUGGGGAUCAAACAGGAUUAGAAACCCUAGUAGUCC
rnacentral:rRNA from 1 species